UAAUAACAUGUGGAACCAUAUUAUAUAUAUGAGUAUAAUCAGUGGCGGAGCCACAUACAGUAAGAUGGGGGCCACUGAACCCAACAAAAUUUCAAAAAUUAGUGUAAGUUACUAAAUCCCAAUCUAUAUGCCCCCAUUCUAAAAUAACGUUUGCCCCCAUAGAUUUGCUUAAACCCCCUAAAAAUAACAAUACUAAAAGCAGCAUAUGCUGAAAAUCUGUGCUGCCACGUCACUUAAAAUAAUCCUCCAACCAAAACUUUUCUUUUUGCCACGUCAGAUCCGUUGUGUUAUGUUACGUUUGGGCCUUCGUUUCUUAAUUUUAUUUUUGUAUGGGCUUCGUUUGUUUUAGUCCAGGGCUUCUAUCUAUUGUUGUCGACAAACGUAAAAAAAAAAAAGCUACAGAGCACGGAGAUCGCGAUGCAGACGGAGGUCUCGAGGAACUACGCCUCUGCCUCUUCCUCUUCUCCGAUUCAAAGCGUAAAGAGCUCUGAUCGAUCAACUUCUCCACAAACGAAACUCCAAUUUACUUCUUCAAUUAAUUUUGUCUUAAUGUUUUCGUUUCAUCUCCUCAUGUUCUUUCUUCUUUAUAUACCGAUUCUCUUUUCUCCGAUUCUCUUUUCUCUUUACAAACACAAAACCCUACCAGCUUCUCAGAUCUCAACCAUGGCGACGAAACCGAAUGGGAAGUCUCCCGUCUCAUCCGCCUCUGAUGAAAAAGUCAUGUUCUUCCGAGAUGUCUCGCUGGGUCCACACGAAACUCAGCUGCGGUUUCGUCUGAUCCACUUCUGGGAAGCUUGGAAUCCGAUUAAGAAGACGCUAAUCGGCCUUGAGAUGCUCCUCAUCGACGAACAGGGAACGGUGAUUCAAGGUUUCAUUUCGCCAUCGCGUAUUGAAAAGUAUUUGGGUAAAAUGGAGCGAGGAAAAGUUUACAAGCUCGACAACUUCUAUGGAUCGAGUAACAAGUCGGUUUAUCGGGUUUCUGAUCAUGCCGUUACCGUGUCGUUUUCGUGGAACUCUGAACUGUCGGAGCUUCAGAACAUCACCACCCCUUUUGAUGAAGACAGAUUCCGGUUUCAUUCGUACGAGGUUUUUGAAGCAAACUGUGACCUCAAAGGAGACCUCUACGAUGUUGUUGGCCACAUGAAGUUGGUAAAUGGUCAUACUCUCACUGAGAGUCCCGUCCUUGACGAAGUGCAAAUAGCAGCUGCGAGGCAUCUUCUGGUUCAUGUGCAAUUACAUGGUGGACCUGUGAUUAAGCUUUACCUUUGGGACCAGGUCGCAACGGAGUUCUGCAGAAAAUUCAAGUCUUGCGAAACCACUCCCACCGUGUUGCUGGUCACGACCGUUAACACAAAGCGUCUAGGAGGUUUCUAUUUCCCUCUUUAUAUUGCUUAUUGACAUUUAUACAUGCACAGUUUGAGUUUUUAAAAUGGGAUUUCCGUAAUAACACAGGAACUCUAGCCCUCACCUCAAUGUCCUCCUCACGGGUUUUUAUGGACUAUGAUGUCCAGCCUACUAUAGAUUACUUCGGCUGGUUGAGCUCAAAUCCAGCUAUUGCUGAGCAGGUUGAUGCAGAGGUGGUAACUAAACGUGAGACAAUGACUAUAGGGGAGUUAUUCUCCUACAUUAAGCAGGAGUCUGCAAAG